rnacentral:rRNA from 1 species
CGUGACUAAUAAUCAUGAUUCAUGACGGUAUCAACAGAAGAAGCACCGGCUAACUACGUGCCAGCAGCCGCGGUAAUACGUAGGGUGCAAGCGUUAAUCGGAAUUACUGGGCGUAAAGGGUGCGCAGGCGGUUCUGUAAGUCAGAUGUGAAAUCCCCGGGGCUUAACCUGGGAACUGCGUUUGAAACUGCAGGGCUAGAGUGCGGCAGAGGGAGGUGGAAUUCCAUGUGUAGCAGUGAAAUGCGUAGAGAUAUGGAAGAACAUCGAUGGCGAAGGCAACCUCCUGGGCUAGCACUGACGCUCAUGCACGAAAGCGUGGGGAGCAAACAGGAUUAGAUACCCUGGUAGUCCACGCCCUAAACUAUGUCAACUAGUUGUCGGGUCUUAUUAGACUUGGUAACGUAGCUAACGCGUGAAGUUGACCGCCUGGGGAGUACGGUCGCAAGAUUAAAAC